rnacentral:rRNA from 1 species
UACAAGCCGAAUUAAGGUGAAACCGCGAAAGGCUCAUUAAAUCAGUUAUGGUUCCUUAGAUCGUACCCACAUUUACUUGGAUAACUGUGGUAAUUCUAGAGCUAAUACAUGCAAACAGAGCUCCGACCGGAGACGGAAGGAGUGCUUUUAUUAGAUCAAAACCAAUCGAUGUCGUCGGGCGUUCGCGCGCCCUUCGUACGUCGUUAAGACUGGUGACUCUGAAUAACUUUAUGCUGAUCGCACGGUCUAGCACCGGCGACGCAUCUUUCAAAUGUCUGCCUUAUCAACUGUCGAUGGUAGGUUCUGCGCCUACCAUGGUUGUAACGGGUAACGGGGAAUCAGGGUUCGAUUCCGGAGAGGGAGCCUGAGAAACGGCUACCACAUCCAAGGAAGGCAGCAGGCGCGCAAAUUACCCACUCCCGGCACGGGGAGGUAGUGACGAAAAAUAACGGUACGGGACUCAUCCGAGGCCCCGUAAUCGGAAUGAGUACACUUUAAAACCUUUAACGAGAACCCAAUGGAGGGCAAGUCUGGUGCCAGCAGCCGCGGUAAUUCCAGCUCCAUUAGCGUAUAUUAAAGUUGUUGCGUUUAAAAAGCUCGUAGUUGAAUCUGUGUCCCGCGCUGUCGGUUCACCGCCCGCGGUGUUAAACUGGCACGUCCGCGGGACGUCCUGCCGGUGGGCUCGUCCUGUCCGCGACGCGUCGUUCACAUCGAAAGAUGGGUUCGCGCGGCGCUGGCGGCGGCCCGACUCACAAUCCCGCUUCGGUGCUCUUCACUGAGUGUCGAGGUGGGCCGGCACGUUUACUUUGAACAAAUUAGAGUGCUCAAAGCAGGCCGAUAUAACGCCUGAAUACUGUGUGCAUGGAAUAAUGGAACAGGACCUCGGUUCUAUUUUGUUGGUAUUCGGAAUUCCGAGGUAAUGAUUAAUAGGGACAGAUGGGGGCAUUCGUAUUGCGACGUUAGAGGUGAAAUUCUUGGAUCGUCGCAAGACGAACAGAAGCGAAAGCAUUUGCCAAAAAUGUUUUCAUUAAUCAAGAACGAAAGUCAGAGGUUCGAAGGCGAUCAGAUACCGCCCUAGUUCUGACCAUAAACGAUGCCAGCUAGCGAUCCGCUGACGUUCCUCCGAUGACUCGGCGGGCAGCUUCCGGGAAACCAAAGCUUUUGGGUUCCGGGGGAAGUAUGGUUGCAAAGCUGAAACUUAAAGGAAUUGACGGAAGGGCACCACCAGGAGUGGGGCCUGCGGCUUAAUUUGACUCAACACGGGAAACCUCACCAGGCCCGGACACCAGAAGGAUUGACAGAUUGAGAGCUCUUUCUUGAUUUGGUGGGUGGUGGUGCAUGGCCGUUCUUAGUUGGUGGAGCGAUUUGUCUGGUUAAUUCCGAUAACGAACGAGACUCUAGCCUGCUAACUAGGCGUUUUUUCCGGCAUCCGGAAGGCUCGCGUCGUCCGUCAGCCGCGUGGCGUUAGCGUUCGUGCCAAUCGUGGGCGUGUCGUGCGUGCGGUUUAGGCCGUGCGUCGCGCGUUCCGGUCAGUCGUCGUUAACGUCCGUGGUCGGGCGUACGCGGUUUUUACUGCCGGCGUACAAUUAUAUCUUCUUAGAGGGACAGGCGGCUCUUAGCCGCACGAGAUUGAGCAAUAACAGGUCUGUGAUGCCCUUAGAUGUUCUGGGCCGCACGCGCGCCACACUGAAGGAAUCAGCGUGUCCUCCCUGGCCGAAAGGUCCGGGUAACCCGCUGAACCUCCUUCGUGCUAGGGAUUGGGGCUUGCAAUUUUUCCCCAUGAACGAGGAAUUCCUAGUAAGCGCGAAUCAUAAGUUCGCGUUGAUUAGGUCCCUGCCCUUUGUACACACCGCCCGUCGCUACUACCGAUUGAAUGAUUUAGUGAGCUCUUCGGACCGGCACGCGGUUUGGCGUUUCGCGUCACCG